GGGGGGAGCAAGCGUUGUUCGGAUUUACUGGGCGUAAAGGGCGCGUAGGCGGUCAGCACAAGUCAGUUGUGAGAUCUCUCCAGANNUUAACUCGGAAAGGUCAACUGAUACUGUGCGACUAGAGUGCAGAAGGGGCAACUGGAAUUCUUGGUGUAGCGGUGAAAUGCGUAGAUAUCAAGAGGAACACCUGCGGCGAAGGCGGGUUGCUGGGCUGACACUGACGCUGAGGCGCGAAAGCCAGGGGAGCGAACGGGAUUAGAUACCCCGGUAGUCCUGGCCUUAAACGAUGAAUGCUUGGUGUCUGGGGUUAUAAAGUCCCCGGGUGCCGUCGCUAACGCUUUAAGCAUUCCGCCUGGGGAGUACGGUCGCAAGACUG
rnacentral:rRNA from 1 species